rnacentral:rRNA from 1 species
UGGGGACGCGAGCGGCGGAUGGGUGAGUAACACGUGGGGAACCUGCCCCAUAGUCUGGGAUACCACUUGGAAACAGGUGCUAAUACCGGGUAAGAAAGCAGAUCGCAUGAUCAGCUUAUAAAAGACGGCGUAAGCUGUCGCUAUGGGAUGGCCCCGCGGUGCAUUAGCUAGUUGGCAAGGUAACGGCUUACCAAGGCAAUGAUGCAUAGCCGAGUUGAGAGACUGAUCGGCCACAUUGGGACUGAGACACGGCCCAAACUCCUACGGGAGGCAGCAGUAGGGAAUCUUCCACAAUGGACGCAAGUCUGAUGGAGCAACGCCGCGUGAGUGAAGAAGGUUUUCGGAUCGUAAAGCUCUGUUGUUGGUGAAGAAGGAUAGAGGUAGUAACUGGCCUUUAUUUGACGGUAAUCAACCAGAAAGUCACGGCUAACUACGUGCCAGCAGCCGCGGUAAUACGUAGGUGGCAAGCGUUGUCCGGAUUUAUUGGGCGUAAAGCGAGCGCAGGCGGAAGAAUAAGUCUGAUGUGAAAGCCCUCGGCUUAACCGAGGAACUGCAUCGGAAACUGUUUUUCUUGAGUGCAGAAGAGGAGAGUGGAACUCCAUGUGUAGCGGUGGAAUGCGUAGAUAUAUGGAAGAACACCAGUGGCGAAGGCGACUCUCUGGUCUGCAACUGACGCUGAGGCUCGAAAGCAUGGGUAGCGAACAGGAUUAGAUACCCUGGUAGUCCAUGCCGUAAACGAUGAGUGCUAAGUGUUGGGAGGUUUCCGCCUCUCAGUGCUGCAGCUAACGCAUUAAGCACUCCGCCUGGGGAGUACGACCGCAAGGUUGAAACUCAAAGGAAUUGACGGGGGCCCGCACAAGCGGUGGAGCAUGUGGUUUAAUUCGAAGCAACGCGAAGAACCUUACCAGGUCUUGACAUCUAGUGCCAUCCUAAGAGAUUAGGAGUUCCCUUCGGGGACGCUAAGACAGGUGGUGCAUGGCUGUCGUCAGCUCGUGUCGUGAGAUGUUGGGUUAAGUCCCGCAACGAGCGCAACCCUUAUUAUUAGUUGCCAG